rnacentral:rRNA from 1 species
AGAGUUUGAUCCUGGCUCAGGAUGAACGCUGGCGGCGUGCCUAAUACAUGCAAGUCGAGCGAACGGACGAGAAGCUUGCUUCUCUGAUGUUAGCGGCGGACGGGUGAGUAACACGUGGAUAACCUACCUAUAAGACUGGGAUAACUUCGGGAAACCGGAGCUAAUACCGGAUAAUAUUUUGAACCGCAUGGUUCAAAAGUGAAAGACGGUCUUGCUGUCACUUAUAGAUGGAUCCGCGCUGCAUUAGCUAGUUGGUAAGGUAACAGCUUACCAAGGCAACGAUGCAUAGCCGACCUGAGAGGGUGAUCGGCCACACUGGAACUGAGACACGGUCCAGACUCCUACGGGAGGCAGCAGUAGGGAAUCUUCCGCAAUGGGCGAAAGCCUGACGGAGCAACGCCGCGUGAGUGAUGAAGGUCUUCGGAUCGUAAAACUCUGUUAUUAGGGAAGAACAUAUGUGUAAGUAACUGUGCACAUCUUGACGGUACCUAAUCAGAAAGCCACGGCUAACUACGUGCCAGCAGCCGCGGUAAUACGUAGGUGGCAAGCGUUAUCCGGAAUUAUUGGGCGUAAAGCGCGCGUAGGCGGUUUUUUAAGUCUGAUGUGAAAGCCCACGGCUCAACCGUGGAGGGUCAUUGGAAACUGGAAAACUUGAGUGCAGAAGAGGAAAGUGGAAUUCCAUGUGUAGCGGUGAAAUGCGCAGAGAUAUGGAGGAACACCAGUGGCGAAGGCGACUUUCUGGUCUGUAACUGACGCUGAUGUGCGAAAGCGUGGGGAUCAAACAGGAUUAGAUACCCUGGUAGUCCACGCCGUAAACGAUGAGUGCUAAGUGUUAGGGGGUUUCCGCCCCUUAGUGCUGCAGCUAACGCAUUAAGCACUCCGCCUGGGGAGUACGACCGCAAGGUUGAAACUCAAAGGAAUUGACGGGGACCCGCACAAGCGGUGGAGCAUGUGGUUUAAUUCGAAGCAACGCGAAGAACCUUACCAAAUCUUGACAUCCUUUGACAACUCUAGAGAUAGAGCUUUCCCCUUCGGGGGACAAAGUGACAGGUGGUGCAUGGUUGUCGUCAGCUCGUGUCGUGAGAUGUUGGGUUAAGUCCCGCAACGAGCGCAACCCUUAAGCUUAGUUGCCAUCAUUAAGUUGGGCACUCUAAGUUGACUGCCGGUGACAAACCGGAGGAAGGUGGGGAUGACGUCAAAUCAUCAUGCCCCUUAUGAUUUGGGCUACACACGUGCUACAAUGGACAAUACAAAGGGCAGCGAAACCGCGAGGUCAAGCAAAUCCCAUAAAGUUGUUCUCAGUUCGGAUUGUAGUCUGCAACUCGACUACAUGAAGCUGGAAUCGCUAGUAAUCGUAGAUCAGCAUGCUACGGUGAAUACGUUCCCGGGUCUUGUACACACCGCCCGUCACACCACGAGAGUUUGUAACACCCGAAGCCGGUGGAGUAACCUUUUAGGAGCUAGCCGUCGAAGGUGGGACAAAUGAUUGGGGUGAAGUCGUAACAAGGUAGCCGUAUCGGAAGGUGCGGCUGGAUCACCU